AACAAAACUCCAUGCCAAAGUACCAAACAACAAGAUAUGUGCUUUUUCAGCAAAUAUAUCUUCAAAAGAGAAUAGACAUGCAGUAAAGGCUAUGAGUAAGAAGUUCAAGCCACGUGGCGUUUAUUCAAAGUCACGUAUAAUUAUUAUUAGUUAUGUGUAAUACUUAGUAAUUACGUGUGAAGAAUUAUGUGUAUUAGUGUAUGCACAUAUGUAAAAUAGGUAGUACAAUAAGUUAGCCUAAUCAACAUGUCUAUUUAAGGUUUUCAACUUGUAUCACUACAGAACAUUCAAAAUCUUACAACUUUGAAACCUCUCUACGCUUUGAUCCCAUCUUCCCGACUUUUUCAUUCUCCCUUUCAUGUUCUCUCUCCUUUCUCUACAUCAAAAAAAAGUUUUGUGAAAAAAUUGAUGAAAAACUUUGGAAGCGGUUAUGUAACCACCAAUUGCAAGAAAGCAACCAGGAAGAUCACCAAAUAAUGAUCAUAAGAAGAGAUUCAAUGAAGAAAGAUGCAAGAGAAGUAAAGUCAUUUGUAAUAAAUGUGGUACACCCAAGUAUAACAAGAAGACUUGUCCCAAAUUGUCGGAUAAAGCUUAUGUUCAGUAGUGUGUUUUUCAAUUUUAUUUUUAGUUAAAACAUGACGUAGUUGAAACUUUUAAUUUUAUGUUGGCAGAUUGAAUCCUAUGAUAAAAACAUUCA